AACUUUCAACAACGGAUCUCUUGGUUCUCGCAUCGAUGAAGAACGCAGCGAAAUGCGAUAAGUAAUAUGAAUUGCAGAUUUUCGUGAAUCAUCGAAUCUUUGAACGCACAUUGCGCCCUAUGGUAUUCCAUAGGGCAUGCCUGUUUGAGCGUCAUUU
rnacentral:rRNA from 1 species